rnacentral:rRNA from 1 species
AUUGAACGCUGGCGGCAGGCUUAACACAUGCAAGUCGAACGAGUGGCGGACGGGUGAGUAAUGUCUGGGAAACUGCCUGAUGGAGGGGGAUAACUAAUGGAAACGGUAGCUAAUACCGCAUAACAUUAGCUGGGCCCAGAUGGGAUUAGCUAGUUGGUGGGGUAACGGCUCACCAAGGCGACGAUCCCUAGCUGGUCUGAGAGGAUAAACAGCCACACUGGGACUGAGACACGGUCCAGACUCCUACGGGAUGCAGCAGUGGGGAAUAUUGCACAAUGGGCGCAAGCCUGAUGCAGCCAUGCCGCGUGUAUGAAGAAGGCCUUCGGGUUGUAAAGUACUUUCGGCGGGGAGGCGUUACCCGCAGAAGAAGCACCGGCUAACUCCGUGCCAGCAGCCGCGGUAAUAC